AUAAUCUAAGUUUCAGAGCAUCAUCAGUGAAGUUCUGAAUCUUGACAGUGGUGCAAAUCUCAAGAAAUUUAUCUAGGUGUUUAUAUGGGUCUUCGUUGGUGAGCCCAUAAAAAGAUGGGAGCAUUUGGAUCAUACUAGACUUUAUUUCAUAUUGUACAGCUGCUACCUCAGGUAAUCGAAUGCAAGAUGGAGAAGUGUAAAUGGUGGGAGUAAAGUACUCCCUCA
rnacentral:lncRNA from 1 species